rnacentral:rRNA from 1 species
UACGUAGGGUGCAAGCGUUAUCCGGAAUCAUUGGGCGUAAAGAGUAUCGUAGGCGGUCUUGUAAGUGUGUAGUGAAAUCCUUGGGCUCAACCCAAGAAUUGCUAUGCAUACUGCAAGACUAGAGAGUAUCAGAGGAUGCUGGAAUUUUCGGUGGAGCAGUGAAAUGCGUUGAUAUCGAAAAGAACACCAAGGGCGAAGGCAGGCAUCUGGGAUAUUUCUGACGCUGAUGAACGAAAGCUAGGGGAGCGAA